rnacentral:rRNA from 1 species
CGGACCUCAGAUCAGGCAAGACCACCCGCUGAGUUUAAGCAUAUCACUAAGCGGAGGAAAAGAAACUAACAAGGAUGUCC